rnacentral:lncRNA from 1 species
UGCUGCUCUCAUCCUCAAGCACUGACAAAGCACAAUGCUGUUUAGCAUCAGUGAUGCGAUGAGAGUUGGCAUAUUCAUCAUGAUAUGACUGAUGACCUCUAUUUUACAUGUAACAGCAAAUUUUAUGCCUCCUAGCUGGCUUAAUGCCGUCCUUUCUGAGACAGCAUAUCAACUUCUUAAAUUUGCAACUUGCAUGCACAUUAGAACACGUCUGCAGGUUUACUGGACAUAGCCACAAACCUUUGGCCAAGUGCUACGACUCUACACAGUUCAUGCCAACAACUAAAUGAGCAACAAGUUAAAUUUUCUCAAGCAAUGGAGGGUAGACACAGAGAAACAAAAGCACUAAUCUGUGCUACACAAGAAAAAGGAGACCAUACAGCAGUAUGAAAUGAUAAAAUGUAAACAGUGUGACAAUGUGGCUAUAUAUAUAUAUAUAUAUAUAUGGUCAACGAUCCAUGGCUCUCAUGUCAGUCGCAGACACAGUGAUGAGAUGAGGCACCAAGGUGCCAGUCAAGAUGUGGGGGCCAAAUUUUAAUGCUGUUAGGCAUCACCCUCCACUGUACUCUAACUCAUACAAGUGUUGUCUUAGAAUCACUUCAAGCAAAUGACUUCACACUAUGCAGAUGGUUUUACAAGAGCCCAUGCAAGGCCUUUCCAAAUUACUUAUGCAUGUGAUCCUUUGGAUUUAGUAUUGCAAACUGUGUGAAUUGCAUAGCUAACGACAACAUGGUGCCAUACAGAGCACCCCCUUUCUUCCAAAUAAACCUUACUAUUUCCUCUUCAUUGCAUUUGCAACAAACAAAUGAUAAUAUCAGCUUUCACUUGGUCAAAUCACUUAAAUAACUAAACAUCAACAAUGAUUUGUCGCUCUUUUCAAGAGACAAGUUGCCUGGUUUUGCACUGUUAUGCCUAAAAAGACAUCACUGUCACUGUGAUAAGUUCUUAAAUUUCAGCCUACCAGACAGUACUGCAGAAUUUGACCAUUGUCCAUGCUUUGGAGAUGCAGAACGGUUUACUAAAGGCCCCUUUGAAGAUAUGAGUAGCAGGCCAUAGCUGUUUUGGAUGCAUACGUGUGACACUAUACUAAAACUGUACAUUACAGACUUUGUGCAACUCAAGUACUGCAUGUGGUCUGCUCUGAAGAGCAAGUAAGCCAUUUCAUAGGCAUUGGUCGUGUUGGUACAACACACGUCCCACUAAAGAAUUAAAAAUGAUUUUGUACAUACAGGAUGAACAUGUGAUUACGACUCGCUACCAACUUGGCUGCAUUUCAUGCAGCCUAGUGGACUAAUUUCCACACUCGAGUCCAACAGCUAGCUCGGUGCAUGCAAAGCUGCACCAUAUGAUUCCAGAAAAAAAUAAUAGCACCAUAUGAUACAUGAUGGUAACAAUAUCAGAGUGCAGUGCCUUUUACCCUAAGCAAACCAAAGCCUGCAAGCAACUGGGAUGCCAUGCCGCAAGCAGCGUCUUAGAAACCACCUGUCAAUCAGCACCCAUGAUAACGAAUAAUUGUAAGCUAGGAAGUUAAGCAGAGCUAUCAAUAAAACAUUAGGACAUUAGGCUUAGGGCAUGCAUAUGCUUGCCUCACUGCACUGAAUGAGUAACACAAAAUGAAAGCUCACCAGUGAGCUAAACGCAGAGAACUGUUUUGAGUCGACCUCUGGGCCCACUUUGAGAACAGCUCUCAAAUGAGCAUGACUUAACCUAGGUAAUAUGGCCUUUCAAUGGGAGGGCAACUACACUGCUCAACAAGUGACAGGAAAAAAAUCUUGAGAAAGGACGAUUACAGCAAAUGACACAAGUGCAGUGCUGACUAUCUCAAGAUGCAGCACCGUUGCUUCAACACAAA